CCACCGGGGAGGUAUGGGGUUGCUUAUAUCAUGUAAUUGCCCCCUCUACCUCUUGAUGUGGCCUCCUCUUUGUCUUCUGGAGUAGGAUAUCUUUUUGAAAGUUUCCAGUCCAUUUGGUUGAAGGUUGUUCAGCAUUUGGUUGUAAUUUUGUUGUUUUUAUGAGAGAAGUUGAGCUCUAGUCCUUCUAUUCUGCCAUCUUAAUCCUAUCUCCUAGUUUUGAAUACUUUAAAUAAAAUAAAUAUUAAAAAACCUCAGUCCUACUCUUCUCUUCCCUCUUUGGGUCCCUGGCUUGUCUAAGAACUAAAUUGAUAUAAGACAGACCAAUAAGAGAAAAGCAUACAAAUUGUGUUGAGUUUUUACAUAUCCAUGGCAGGUUUCACGAGAGGAUGAAUACCAAAAAUGACCAAAACCAGAAGCUUUUAUACCUUUUAGUCAACUUUGUGUAUAUCCACUUGUUUACUCUUGCAUUUCUGCCAUUGCAAGGAGCAGAGGAUGCCCAUGCUAGUCUUUUGGUUCCUCCUAGGCAGGGCAGAUCACCCCAGGUAAAUGCAGCCUAGAUCCAAAGCUCCUCAGCUAACUUUCAGAAGAAUGUGAAAACUAAGGUGAGGUCAGCAGAAGUGUCCAGCCUUGAGCCUCUGAACUCUGAGAUCCAUAAGAAAUAAAUGUGCAUUGUGUAUGCUGCUGAGUUUCUGGGUCGUUUGUUAUGCAGUGAAAGCUAAAGUGUAUAAACACAUUUUAAUAAGAAAAGCAUCCGUAUAUUCAAGCAAAAUGAAACAUGUUUUGGGGACACAAUGCAAAUAAUUAACUGUGGUUGUUUGAGCUUUAUGGGUAUGGACAACUUUAAUUUUUUCUUUAUAAUUAUGUUUAAAAAUUUAUGCAAUAAGCAUGUUUUAUUUGUCACAAGUGGAAUUUUAAAUAAAAUGAUAAUAUUUAUCUUCUAUUUUAGAGAAUAAAUUGCUUUUGAAACUUUAUUAUUAAUCCAAAAAAAAUUUUUCCCUUAGAAAAUAAGAACUACUUUCUGAAAAGUGAUAAGAAUAAAGGUAUAUUAAUCAGCUAUUAUUAUAUUCUCUGGAUUCUCUGGAUAAAUCCUUACUGAUAAGAAUUGAGGAAUAUAAUAAUCUUGAGGUAAUGUACAUGUAAUUUAAAAAUAGACUUUAGUUUGCUCUUUGUUUCCCAGCCAAAAGGUGAGUAGUGAGUUUUUUGCCAUUAAAAACUUUAUUCAACUUUUUAUGGCUAAAAGAUAAUUUUCCCAGGGAUAUUCUCUUAGAAAAUAUUAAAAUAAUGUUUUAACUGCUUCUACACUACUUGGCUGAAUGAUAUUUGAGACAAAGGCAGAAAUUCUUUGCUUUUGAUCUAAAACUGGCAAGAUUAAUUCAUCUACAUCUUUAAAAUUUACCAUGGGAGACUUUUAAGUUUUAUGGUAUUAAGUUAUUUUCACAAAUGAUUGUUUCAAGGUCAGAGAAAAUUUGAACAUUAUGUUUCAUAUUUCUCUUUUCCUCAGUCCUCACAUCCAAUCAAGCAACAAGUCCUAACUACUUUUUUAAAACCUCCACUUUUAUAAUUAUACUGUCAAAAGUAUAAUUUUUAAAGUUAGAACAUGACUUUUUUAUAAAUAUCAAGUGAACACAUGGCAAAUAUCUAUUUAAAUCCUUAAUGAGGGAGUCAGCAGNNNNNNNNNNNNNNNNNNNNNNNNNNNNNNNNNAGGUAAAGCUAGCUCAAGGAGCAUUUGAAGAACAGAGAUGGAUAAAGUCUGUUUAAAAAAAAAAAAAGACAUACUGAAAUAAAUUUGCAAAGUUAAGAACAAAACUUUUUAAUAUCCUAAAGGGUAAUAAAAUAGAAACCUUUGGGAGUGCCUUUGUUCUGAGUAGAAACUAUGUACAUUUCCAGUGGAAAAAGCUACAAUUGAACACGUAACUUUACUGAUUUUUAGCCUAAUAAAUACCAAAGCAAACAGGUACAUAUUCUAGGGAAUUAAAUUAUUCUUGGGUGAUCCUUUUAAUAUCCCAGUAUAAUACUGAAAUUAUGUGUAGAUAUUCUACUGAUUUAAUAGCCAUUUUGGAACAUUUUUCUUAACAGUCUCCUUUGUGAUCAUAAAUAAUCUCUAAAGAAUGUUCUUGGUCAUGAAAAAAAUUUAGCCUUUUUGUGUUUUGGCCUAAUUAAUUUACAUGGGUUAGUAGACAGCAUUAAUUAAACAUAUAAAUUUCUUUAUAGGAUAGUCAGAAAGUCUAGAACCACUCAAUUAUUAUUAUUAUCAGAGAAUUAACUUAUUUCUAGAGAUUGCAUAAGGAAAACAUUAAAGAAACAUAUCAAAAUAGUGGUGGAUAAAAUCUGACCACAAAUUCGUUUCUGCUUUUUUAGCAAGACUGUCUCCCAUUUUUAAUCUGGGGUUGACUUUCCUUAACCAAUAAAAUUUAGCAGAAAUGGGUUGUUGGAUGUCUCUUCACUGGUAUAUCAUUAUUACAUCAGAAUCACAUAUAACACGUCUAUCUCAGUAUUUGCUGCAUAAAUUAAUGAAACUUGAAGAAAUUGUCUUGACUCUAUUUGUGCAGUUGACAAAUGGAUUAUCAAGACAUCAUUUUUUUAGAAAGUAGACUCUUAAGUUUUACCUUUAUACUCACUCAGUAAACUUAUGUAGUGAGCAAUUUGUCCUUAUUCUUCUGUCUUUCUGAGGCAUGCUCUCUCCCAGCUCGGAAUUUCUGUGCUGGCUGUUCUUGCCUCAUAGCAGCAGCUCAUCUUGAGUUCUUUACUGGUGAUGUCCUAUUAUCUUUUAAAUACCUUCCUUAUUUUUAUUCAGACCUCUUGAAGUCUUCUGCCAAGACAUGAUGGAUAAUAAGAUAAUCAGAUAAAUCAAUCUCUGCCUUGGUAUUAGCUAUGUAAGAGGAAGCACUGAAUAUAGAUCAGGAGGGUUGGAGUCAAACUCAGACUCUGUUAUGAGCCAUGACACUACCCUUCAACUAAUCGUGUGAAUUUAAACCAGUUAUUUUAUUUCUCAGGUCUCCAUUUUCCAAUAUGUAAGUUGGGAAACAAAACCGCUUAGGGUGAGGAUUAAAUAGAGCUGUGUAUACUUUGUUCGAAUUAGGUAGUAAAGGCUUAUAUAGUUGUGGCUAUUUUAAGGAGUCAUUUUCCCCCCCAAAUAUUAUAUCGUCUUUCAGUAGACAUCCCCAAAUGAAGUUGAGGAUUUUAUUGUUGAGUGAUGGGAGAAAUUCUGGUUAGAUGCCUUCUUCUUAGUCAUAUUCUGUCUUCUUGGGCAACUACUGCUUACUUUGAGAAUUUUUNNNNNNNNNNNNNNNNNNNNNNNNNNNNNNNNNNNNNNGGAAUUUUAAUCACUUUUCUAAGAAUACCUGUGAUUUUUGAAUCUACAGUAAAUUAUAAAUUAUAAAAUUUGAAAUUAUAUUUAAGGUAGGUAGUUUACAUAUGCUUGUAUGACGUGAAAGCAUGAAAGAAUCUUUUUUCAGGGAUUUUUUUCCAAAGAAUUUUAGUAUAUUUAUAUUUGUAUAACCAUCAUUACAACCUAAUUUUACAUUUCCAUACCAAAACCCCAGCCCAUCCCUCCCACCCCUACCUCUCUCCUUUGGUAAGCAUAAGUUUUUCAAAGUCUGUGAGUCAGUUUCUGUUCUGCAAGUAAGUUCACUGUAUCCUUUUUUUUUUUUUUUUUUUUUCGAUUCCUCAUAUAAGUGAUAACAUAUGACAUUUGUGUCUCACUGUCUAACUUCACUUAGCAUGAUAAUUUCUAGGUCCAUCCAUGUUGCAGCAAAUGCCAUUAUUUCAUUCCUUUUUAUCACUGAGUAAUAGUCUAUUGUGUAUAUACCACAUCUUUAUCUACUCCUCUGUUGAUGGACAUUUAGGUUACUUCCAUGUCUUGGCUAUUGUAUAUAGGGCUGCAAUGAACAUUGGGGUACAUGUAUCUUUUUGAGUCAUGGUUUUUUCUGGAUAGAUGCCCAGGAGUGGGAUAGAAUCUUUGAACAUGAUUUCCCCCCCACCCCCGCCAAUGCUGUCACCUCUCAAAGAAUCUCUUAAAAUUGUGAUCGUUUACAUGUCUAGAAGAGUGUUAAGAACAGGUUGUAUGUAGCUAUCAUUUAGCAAUAGUCUCUUCUAUUCUAGCUAACAGCUUUCUUUCCUAGGUUCUUCAGAAAUGGAAUCUGAACAUGCCACCUUGAGAAAGUAGAAUACCAGAUAAGGAAUAAUUUAAAAUAUAUUGAAUGAAUAAAUAGCAGAACAGGACAGAUUUUUUUGGUGCUUUGGAAAGUAUAAUUAUAAUUUUUUUCUAAUCCCUGAAAUUUAUAUUAUUUGAAUAAUCUAAAAUCCUAGAACCCUUUUCAGGUGAUUUGGCUAAUCAAAAAGAUGCUAUCACUAUUUUUUCAAUAAUAGCACAUUAACUCCUGACUGAUAGAGAUCUACAUUCAUAAUUAGAUUUCCUUUAGCCAAAAUCAGCUUCUGAUGACUUUCAGCUAAUGAUUUCAUCUCUUAUUAUUUAAGAGCUUAGUUUUGAGAUUAGGUUUUAUUCAUUUAGUGGUUAACGAAUCCGACUAGGAACCAUGAGGUUUCGGGUUCGAUCCCUGGCCUUGCUCAGUGGGUUAAGGAUCUGGCGUUGCCAUGAGCUGUGGUGUAGGUUGCAGACGUGGCUUGGAUCCCACAUUGCUGUGGCUCUGGUGUAGGCCAGCGGCUACAGCUCUGAUUGGACCGCUAGCCUGGGAACCUCCAUAUGCCGCAGGAGUGGCCCUAGAAAAG
rnacentral:lncRNA from 1 species